GACGAACGCUGGCGGCGUGCCUAAUACAUGCAAGUUGAGCGAUGAAGAUUGGUGCUUGCACCAAUUUGAAGAGCAGCGAACGGGUGAGUAACGCGUGGGGAAUCUGCCCUUGAGCGGGGGACAACAUUUGGAAACGAAUGCUAAUACCGCAUAAUAACUUUAAACAUAAGUUUUAAGUUUGAAAGAUGCAAUUGCAUCACUCAAAGAUGAUCCCGCGUUGUAUUAGCUAGUUGGUGAGGUAAAGGCUCACCAAGGCGAUGAUACAUAGCCGACCUGAGAGGGUGAUCGGCCACAUUGGGACUGAGACACGGCCCAAACUCCUACGGGAGGCAGCAGUAGGGAAUCUUCGGCAAUGGACGAAAGUCUGACCGAGCAACGCCGCGUGAGUGAAGAAGGGUUUCGGAUCGUAAAACUCUGUUGGUAGAGAAGAACGUUGGUGAGAGUGGAAAGCUCAUCAAGUGACGGUAACUACCCAGAAAGGGACGGCUAACUACGUG
rnacentral:rRNA from 1 species